GACGAACGCUGGCGGCGUGCUUAACACAUGCAAGUCGAACGAAGUGGCGAACGGGUGAGUAACGCGUAAUCAACCUGCCCUUCAGAGGGAGACAACAGUUGGAAACGACUGAUAAUACCGCAUAAUGAAGGAGGGGAGUGGGUCUGAUUAGGUAGUUGGAGGGGUAACGGCCAACCAAGGCGAUGAUUAGUAGCCGGUCUGGGAGGAUGAUCGGCAACAUUGGGACUGAGACACGGCCCAGACUCCUACGGGAGGCAGCAGUGGGGACUCUUCCGCAAUGGACGAAAGUCUGACGGAGCAACGCCGCGUGAGUGAUGACGGCCUUCGGGUUGUAAAGCUCUGUUAAUCGGGACGCGGUACCGGAAUAGAAAGCCACGGCUAACUACGUGCCAGCAGCCGCGGUAAUUC
rnacentral:rRNA from 1 species